rnacentral:tRNA from 1 species
GGGCCCGUGGUGUAAUGGCAGCACGCUACCUUUGACAAGUAGUAAGAACGGGUUCGAUCCCCGUCGGGUCCA